AUUGAACGCUGGCGGCAUGCCUUACACAUGCAAGUCGAACGGCAGCGGACCUUCGGGUGCCGGCGAGUGGCGAACGGGUGAGUAAUGCAUCGGAACGUACCUUUCAGUGGGGGAUAACGUAGCGAAAGUUAUGCUAAUACCGCAUAUUCUGUGAGCAGGAAAGCAGGGGAUCGCAAGACCUUGCCCUGAUUGAGCGGCCGAUGUCAGAUUAGCUAGUUGGUGAGGUAAAGGCUCACCACGGCGACGAUCUGUAGCGGGUCUGAGAGGAUGAUCCGCCACACUGGAACUGAGACACGGUCCAGACUCCUACGGGAGGCAGCAGUGGGGAACUUUGGACAAUGGGGGCAACCCUGAUCCAGCCAUGCCGCGUGAGUGAAGAAGGCCUUCGGGUUGUAAAGCUCUUUCGGCCGGGAAGAAAUCGCACGGGCUAAUACCCUGUGUGGAUGACGGUACCGGAAUAAGAAGCACCGGCUAACUACGUGCCAGCCGCCGCAGUAA
rnacentral:rRNA from 1 species